UACGUAGGGUGCAAGCGUUGUUCGGAAUUACUGGGCGUAAAGGGCUCGUAGGCGGCCAACUAAGUCAGACGUGAAAUCCCCAGGCUCAACCUGGGAACUGCGUCUGAUACUGGAUGGCUUGAAUCCGGGAGAGGGAUGCAGAAUUCCAGGUGGUAGCGGUGAAAUGCGUAGAUAUCUGGAGGAAUACCGGUGGCGAAGGCGGCAUCCUGGACCGGCAUUGACGCUGAGGAGCGAAAGCUAGGGGAGCAAACGGG
rnacentral:rRNA from 1 species